GCUUUGAAAUGCCAUUCACCUGUGGCCCAUUUCAAGUUUCCCAUGAUUCUUAGGAAGACCCUGGCCUCCAUCUUGAAAACGGAAAAUAAAAACAGCAGACCUAUGAAGGUCGAAGGGGAAGAAAAGCUGUAUCGAUUGUUGAGAUCUGGCGACUUGUUUAAAUUUCAUCAGCCUCACUUCUAUGAACUCUCAGAGCUGAUUACCAACUCCUACCACUGUUAACCCUCAUCCAGGAACAAGCUUAUGUCUUUAACAUUCUGAGUGGGCUUCAGCAUCCUUGCAUAUGUUCAAUUCUUAAAAACCUGUUGAAAUAAAAGAUCAGGAGACAUAGGAAGGAUGCCAGAAGAGAGCGUGGCCUCACGUGUACCAGCUCUCUGCUCUCCUUUGCCUUGGGACGUUCCAUCCCUGGAAGUUUCCCUGCCCACAUCUUUGUAGAGAGUCCAUUCUCCAAGCUUCAGUGUGUCAUCUGUGAGGACCGUGACCCACCUGGUACAUCGCCUCAGGGCAUUCAUUUCAGGCUCCUUCUAAAUGGCCAAGUUUUCAAGAUUGUUUUGGCUCUAGCAAAAC
rnacentral:lncRNA from 10 species